rnacentral:lncRNA from 1 species
GGCGGAGAGGGUGAUGAUGCCAGAGAGCAGAGACGCGCGACACAGGUAUGGAAGACAGUGGAGGCCUCGCAGAGCGGAGGACCCGGGCAGUGUGUGAGAGGAGGGGUGUGGGCGGGGCUAAAUGGAGGUUUGCCCAAAGGAGACGUCAAGGGUGGAGGGAGGCCCGGCGAGUCUGGGGGAGGAGAGGCUCUUAGAGGAGGGGGCUGGAGGCGGGGUUGAAAGAAACCCAGUACCCGAGGAAAGAUUGAAGCCGGGCAGAAGGAGGCGGGCCCGGAAGCCGAGCCGGGAGAAGGGGCCCAAAGGUGGCCACUCUGGGAAGGAGCCGGAAGGAGGCGGGACCGAAAGGGUGACCGGGGGUGUGUGUAGGGCUGGGACUGGAGGUGGGCGGGACCUGAAGACGCGGCCCAAACAAGUUGGCGGUGGGCAGUGCUCCAGGGAUGCGGAAGAGAAGUAGGAAGGAAGGCAAGGUCCUUUCACUUACAGGGAACCUGGUGUGUGCACUGGGCGAGGAUCCACGCUGCCAGUUGGGUCUGGGAGAAGACACUGUCAUGAGGACGUGUCUGGGGAGGACCUGAAAAAAGGUUAAAUUCAAAUAACUUUACCCUUUUGGAAAUUUUUUGUAACUUGAUGUGGGUCUGGAUGUGUGUCCUCCCUCCUAAAUAUUUCUCCUGUGAGAACUCUCACCUAGAUCCGUGUUCUAGCCUCCACUGUGAGGACAGUAAGACCUUCAGCCCUCAGCUAUAGACUUGCAUUGUCCGGCCUAUUAUUGUAUUUUUCCCAUCACAUCCCCCAAAACCUGCCUAGGAGACAGGAUUUCCCCAGCACUGGACACAGUUUGAAAUUAAUCUUGCCCAGACCAGCCAUUAUAGCUACACUUGUGUAGUUUGAUAACCUCUGACUCUUCCCUUGAAAAGGAAGAGAAAUCAAAUUAGAGUUGAUGACAACUAAGACCAAGACCAGGAAUGUUCUCCCCCCACCUCUUCUAACUUCUGGUUCCUUCUUAUGCCUUACAUCUCUGAUUAAAAUCACCUCCUCAGGAGUUCCCGUCGUGGCGCAGUGGUUAACGAAUCCGACUAGGAACCAUGAGGUUGCGGGUUCGGUCCCUGCCCUUGCUCAGUGGGUUAACGAUCCGGCGUUGCCGUGAGCUGUGGUGUAGGUUGCAGACGCGGCUCGGAUCCUGCGUUGCUGUGGCUCUGGCGUGGGCCGGUGGCUACAGCUCCGAUUCAACCCCUAGCCUGGGAACCUCCAUAUGCCGCGGGAGCGGCCCAAGAAAUAGCAACAACAACAACAACAACAACAACAAAAAAAAAAAAAAA